rnacentral:rRNA from 1 species
UAAGGAAUAUUGGGCAAUGGAGGCAACUCUGACCCAGCCAUGCCGCGUGAAGGAUGAAGGCCCUAUGGGUUGUAAACUUCUUUUGUAUGGGAAUAAACGCAGUUACGUGUAACUGUUUGAAUGUACCAUAAGAAUAAGCACCGGCUAACUCCGUGCCAGCAGCCGCGGUAAUACGGAGGGUGCAAGCGUUAUCCGGAUUUAUUGGGUUUAAAGGGAGCGUAGGCGGGAUUGUAAGUCAGUGGUGAAAGCCCGUAGCUCAACUACGGAACUGCCAUUGAUACUGCAGACCUAGAGUACACUUGAAGUGGGCGGAAUGUGUCAUGUAGCGGUGAAAUGCUUAGAUAUGACACAGAACACCAAUUGCGAAGGCAGCUCACUAAAUUGUAACUGACGCUGAGGCUCGAUAGCGUGGGGAUCAAACAG